ensembl:lncRNA
GAUUUUAUUUCGUGUAAAGUGCGUAAUAAAUCCAUUUAUUCAUCUUCAGUAGCUGUAUCCUGGUCACUGGUCACAGUGGAUUCAGAGCCCAUCUUGAAACAGUAGACACAAAGCAGGAAUACACUCCAGCUAUCACUUGUCAUUGUAAGACUCAAUGGGUAAGUUAUUUAUAUUGUCAUAAAUGCCAUUGUUCCAUUGUUCCAAUAUACAAAAUAUUGUGCAUAACUAUGUAAAUGCUUUUAUGUAUUUAUUUAUGUCAAUUGUUCAUAUCUAUGGGUACUAUUCAGGCUACCAGCAUGAAGAAAACAUCAAAGUGUCCUUCAGGAGAGGCCCACAGGUCAUUUUUGAAGGGACCCACCUGAAGAGGCAAGAAGGAUUAAAGACAAUCCUUUGCAAGACAAGUCAACACCUUAAAGAGAAGUUGUGGUCAGGAACAAUUCCCGUUCUAUUGUUUUACAGAGGAGAGGGGAUGUUUCAGACAAGCAAGAGGUGUUAGGAGAAUACAUUCUUCAGUUUGGGAAGUACAAAGGGAAGUCCUUCCCGUGGCUAGUGGAGAAUGAUAUUGGCUACAUUUUGUACUUGUCCAGUAAGGUUGAUGAGGAAGAACAGGCUGACCCAGAUGGUCGUUGCAAGGAGAGCCUCCUUUCCUUUCUUGAAUAUUCAAGAUGCUUUAAGGAAAUUGAAGAUCUCCGACGAUCCCUUUCAGAGAGGCCAGACUCAGUGCCAGUUUUGUCAGAUGAUGACAAUGUUGUUGGAUUUGGGGCAUGAGCACAGGACACCUGGAGGAUGAUCUGGAAUACCAGGGCUUAUGGGUAUGCUGCCUUUAUAAUGGGGAAGAGCUAUGUUCCUGGAAGUAAAAUGUACUGCUUGCAGCAAUAUAUUUUAAAGCAUAAAAAACAGGUGACCAUUGCUACACCUUCACCCUCACAAUCAACUCCCUCCACAACUUCCACUUCACACCUUUUCUCUGAUUAUCCAUGUGAGUAAACCACAUUUAUAUUUGUUUAUAUAGAUUCUUACAGUCUACUGAUGUAUUUGUUUCAUUUCACAGUAAUGGAGGAGGAUGAGAUGAUGCUGAGUCUGUCUCCACCCAAUUAUCUAGUUCAACCUGUUUAUGGCAUAUUAAAUAGCACAUACUAGAGUUAUACUAAACAAAUUCUAUUGUAUAUUUCAGAGUCAUCUGCAGCCACUCGGUGUCCAGUCUUCUCCACAGCACGAGGUUAUUUUCCACAUCAGUUUUGGAGCCGUAUGCUGUUACCCACAGAUUUAUCCUUCAUAACUCUUUUUCAUACCUUUUUUAUUGUUUUGGCAGUGUUUUUGCCUGUUCUAAAACUUGUGUUCUUUUGUUAUACUAACAAUUGGUAAAGGUUGAACAUAUCACUGUUGAGGGUGAGUGCACUUCAUGAAUUUUAUGCAUGCUAUUUAACAUAUUUGUAUUGUCUACUCAAAGCUUUAGCUGUUUUUAAAGAGUAAACUUUCAAAUUAGGAUCAAUUUGUAAUCACUUUAAGUUUUUAAAUAAUCUGUGCAGUUCAAUCAUAAAGGUGAACAUUAUUUGAACUUGCAUUAAUGGAAUUUUUAAAUAAAUAUUCUGUUGUUGUAAGUUCUAACUGAUCCAUCCAUCUAUUCAUCUUCUAUACCGCUUAUCCUCUACAGGGUCACGUGGAAACCUGGAGCCUAUCCCAGGGAUCAUCGGGCACAAGGCGGAGUACACCCUGGACAGGGUGCCAGUCCAUCACAGGUUCCGCCACAGCCAACACCGUCUGCGGUCUGCCAUCCAGUGCCAACAAGCAGACUGUAAUACACAUUGUGAUACAUAAUUAUGAAAGAUAUUGUGGUAAAGUCUGCUGUGAAUGGUCCCACAUUGAUACCCUAAAGAUUUUCACUUUCCAGAAACAGUUUAUGCCUAUCUCACUGUUGCUUAAGUAGAUAAAUCUCACCUGCAUAUUGCAUACUUGUAUCUAGAAACUGCUGGUGUAAUCAAAGUGUGAUGCUGGUACUGAUCAACACACUUAAUACUGUUUGACUUUAUAUGAUAGAGUUAUGUAAGAGUAAUGAUUUUUAAUCUCACUAUCUGGUGUCCCCCAGAAGAAGAUGGAUUCCCUUUUGACUAUGGUUCCUCUCAAGUCUUCUUCAUAUGGUCUCAGGAGUGUUCCUUGGCACCAUCUAUCUCGCUUGCUCAUUAAGGAUGCAAAUUUACAUCUGGAUUUCUGUAAAGCUACUUUUAUUACAAUGUCUAUUGUUAAAAGAGCUAUAAAAAUAAAACUGCAGUUUUGAAUCGAAAUUCUCGUCUUUAAUCUGUGACUCUCAAAAGAAAAGUUGAAAACGUGUUUCCGCCCGGUUUCGAACCGGGGACCUUUCGCGUGUGAGGCGAACGUGAUAACCACUACACUACGGAAACAUAUAAAUCCUAGACGUCGGAUGUACACUUACAUUUACAUUUAUUCAUUUAGCAGACGCUUUUAUCCAAAGCGACAUACAAAUGACCAAAUUACUUAUUUACUCAAAAGAAACAUCGUCAUAUUAGAAUAUCAUUUGAAUUGUUUGUAACUAUAUACAGUAUCUCACAAAAGUGAGUAUACCCCUCACAUUUUUGUAAAUAUUUGAUUUUACCUUUUCAUGUGACAACACUGAAGAAAUUACACUUUGCUACAAUGUAAAGUAGUGAUUGUAUAGCUUGUAUAACAGUGUAAAUUUGCGGUACCCUCAAAAUAACUCAACACACAGCCGUUAAUGUCUAAAUCGCUGGCAACAAAAGUGAGUACACCCCUGAGUGAAAAUGUCCUAAGUGCUCCCUCCAGCAAAAAAUCUGGAUGAAAACCGAAUUGGAAGCCAUGGGACUCUGGCCAGGAUCACGAUUGGUGAGACACCUUAUGAACAUGGUUUCCUUGUGGCGUUAUCUUCCUCAACCUGAGCUUAUAGAAACCAACACAGGCCUGCCGUCACCAAAAUACUUCCAGCUCCAUCCAUUCUUCAUCUGGAAACCGGAGCACAGUAUAAUGGAAAGGCUCAGAAACAAUUACAUCCUGCCUUGGUACCUAGCGGACAAUAUUAUAUCCUUUCCUCUUGUCUGUGCUGUAAAGCAUGCAAAAAAUCCUGGUUCCCUGAUAAACCCCAGUGGAUAGACAUGCUACCAAAGCGUUUUACGAACAUCUUGCCAGCCUUACUCACCCAUAAGAAGGCAAUCUGUAAAACAGUGAUGGAUGAACUGUGGCGCUCUGAAAAAUCACCAAAUGAUAUGGCCAACCAGCUGUCUGAGGUGCUUCACCUGAAGUACGAAAGAGCCCACCUAGCUUACCUGCUCAGCGUGCAGAACAUCAGGGAUGCUGAAGCAGGACUGUAUGGACAGAGGACCAUCACUGGGGCACUGAGGAAGGAUGACACACCAACACUGUUUGAGGGUUACUGAUGGGUGGUAUGAGGUGUCUGUGACUGCACACUAUCUGGUGGAGUGCCUUCUUCAAGAAUAUCAGCGGCAAGAGGCAGCUCUCACUCAGGUUCUACAAGGCACUUUUGGACAAGUGUUCAGGUCAGAUCACACACACAAACUUGCUAGAAAAGUGACUCUCUCAUCUGGCAUAAUGUCAUCCUAUGUUGUGAUGAAUGAGAACUGGAUGAUCCUGUUCUGGGUGAUGCUGCAAUCUGAAAGUGAGCAAGAAAAAAGCUGGUCUGAAAAGAAACUGAAAAAAGCAUACAUAUUCUGUGGUAUUGAGCCUGCUAAUCCCACCAAGCAGCACAUCAGACAGCACUGCAGGACAAAAGUGCCAAAUCCAAGAGAGCUAGUCCAGAGUGUGGAAGAAGUGCUUCAACAUUUCCACCUUGCAGAGGAUCCCAGCAACAUCUUCCUUUUUAAACCGUCAAUGCUAAAGGUGUGGUGGAUUCAGCAUGUACACAUCCUUAGAGGCUGCCUGAGUGACCCUGAGAUGGAGGAAGUAUCCUCUACAGACACGGGGGAACCUUAUAGCUCAAUCAUGUAAAGGGUAAUGGAGCUGCUGUGCCCAUUUGGAUACCUGUCAGGGGCAAUUCACAGCAGGGGGGGUUUCAUUUCCACCAGGCUUACUGGGUAACAGGUAAUCGUGUCUCUCCUGAGCUGUUCCAGGCACAGGGAAUGACUGGAGUGGCACGCUGGAACUAUCAGUGGCUGGUGGAUCUGUAGCAGCCUGGGGUCGUCCUACCUGCAGUGUUUGACCCUGUGUUAAUGAUGAAUUUAAACAGUGCCUCUGUGAGAGUGACAGGGCAGCCCAAGUAUCCAGCCUGGCAUACUUCCAGCAGGGACACAGGAGAGCGGUUUGGCCUACAGUAUGUGGAGCCAGGCUGUCAUCCAGUGCCUUUUGACUUUGCCAAACAUAAGUGCAGGAAUUCUGCCCUAGGAGAUGUGGAGAUUCCAGAAGAGUCUUCAUCUAGCUUUGAGUCUUCAAUUCCAUCUAAGGUACUCCUUUACACUUUGUUUUUAUUUGAUAAUGGAGAAGAAGAUUUGUAUUACUUCAUAAUAUGUUUUUCUCACUUGCAUACACUCAUUUUGCUCAAUUUCAGGAAUGGUUGGAUGAUUC